rnacentral:rRNA from 1 species
UACGUAGGGGGCUAGCGUUGUCCGGAAUCAUUGGGCGUAAAGCGCGUGUAGGCGGUCCGGUAAGUCCGCUGUGAAAGUCGGGGGCUCAACCCUCGAAUGCCGGUGGAUACUGUCGGGCUAGAGUGCGGUAGGGGAGACUGGAAUUCCUGGUGUAGCGGUGGAAUGCGCAGAUAUCAGGAGGAACACCGAUGGCGAAGGCAGGUCUCUGGGCCGCAACUGACGCUGAGGAGCGAAAGCAUGGGGAGCGAACAGG